UGAAAAAUUAGGGUUUGGUUGUCAUCCUCGCCUCCCUAUAUAAUCCCCCCUAUGCUCCAACUACAGCCAUGACAUCAAUCACUUCUCUUCAUUCUCAACGGUCACGGAGGCUGGAGAUCUCAUGAUCAUUCUGCAAGGACAAUGAAUGGUGCUUUUAGGGGCAACAAACUAGAGUCUCUGAUGCGCUCUUUCUCCAUAGCGUAUCCAGCGCUGUAUGUUGCCAAUAACAACGUGAACCUGAGAUGCUGGCAUUUGCCAAGUAUUUGUUUUCACCAGGCUAAUGCACUCAUAUGUUUCAAUAUUUAGCACUACAGUUUUUUUAUUGAUACUGAAUUUCAUGUAGGCAAUUGAACUCCACUUGUUAUUAAUAAUAUUGAAUUUAAGAAAGACAUGCACGAAGUUUGAUGUUUUAUUAGGGCACUAUUAUCUUUGAAACAACAUUUACACUUUGUUUGGUUUGAGUGAUUUAAACUUUAGAUUAUUUACUCAACUUGUGAUUAAUAGUAUUGAAUUUAAGAAAGACAUGCAGCAAGUUUGAUAUUUUAUUAGGACACUGUUAUCCUUGAAACAACAUUUACACUUUGUUUGGUUUGAGUGAUUUAAACUUUAGAGUAUUUACCCCACUUGUGAUUUAAUAGUAUUGAAUUUGAGAAAGACAUGCACCAAUUUUGAUGUUUUAUUAGGACACUAUUAUCUUUGAAACAACAUUUACACUUUGUUUGGUUUGAGUGAUUUGAACUUCAGAAUAUUGCUAGAUGCAUCUUCCUAAUUCUAUUUUGAGUUGGGGUUGAGGGAAAGGGGUUGUAACUACUAGAAACAAGGAAGCCAAAUGAUGAGUUUUGAUUAAAUCUCUUACGACGGUCAUCUGACGUGCUUGUUGUUAGCACUGAUGUAAUGUUCAACACCACUGAUGGUUUUCUUUGAAGAGGGAGUGGUAGGUUUAUGAAAAUCAAAACGGGGUAACUUUGCCAUGUCUUCUUAAUUACUAUUUGCCAUAUUUAUAUGGUUGGCGUAACAAUUUGUUUAGCAUAGGAAUCUGAAAAAUAUAAAAAUGAAACAAAUUAAUUGGCUUCACAAAAUCUGGCUUUGUAUUCCAUUUUUCCUUGGUGUUUUUUUCCCUACUUUUGUGGCUCUUGUUCCUUCAUUUGGAUGUGAAUGGAAUUAGAGUAACAAAACAGAACAACUUGAUCCCAUAGCAUGUAUUCCGCAAUCAUUUUGAAGGCAAGUGCUACAAUGAUUUGUCAUUAUAGAUGAGCACUGCCUGAACCCCUAGGAGCAAAUUAAUACAUUGUCUAUCAAACCAUUAUUGUGAGCAAGCAAGUGUAUUUUUUGUGUAAGUUACUAUGACCUUGUGGUUUUACAAAACUACAAUUAUCGCCAUUCUUAGUAUAAUUACAAUUACUUCCCUGUGUGAAAUUUGUACCAAAUUAAUCCACACUGUUCAAAACUACUAGUAAUUUUUGUUAAUUCACAGAAUUUUUAAAAUGUUAAAAUUAUUGUUUGUAUUUAAAAUAAAUAAGAUUGAUUAUUUUACAUUACAUUAUAUCUGUCACACACACAUAUAUAUAUGUCCUCUGCUCCAUUCCUCUCCCUAUCUCCCUAUCUUCAUCAGCAGUGGUUGUGGUGUUCAAUGGAAAGAGGAGGUUGGGGUUGCUGUGGACAUGAAAAUAUUGUGGGGAGUGGCAGUAUUAUGUGGUGGUUGUGCACCAGUGGUCAGCAGAACUGGGUAGGGUUUCAUAUUCAAAGGCAUGGUUGAAGAUUUAUGUUUUGUCUCAUCUAAAAUUCUUCUGAUGUAUAUUCCCUUAUGCACACACGAAACACUCAUAUUUAUAUGUUUUGGCUAUCCUGAAUCUUAGGGUGUAGUAAUUGUUCUUGUUGUUUUGUUAUAUUUAUGCGCAGCCCUUAAGAUCGUCUUCCUCUUUCAACACAUGGAAGCGUUUUGAGUCAUAGCUACGCUAUAUCAACUGUAUGUAUACACGUGCACUUACAUGUAUGUGUAUACAUAUGUUGGGGUUUCUCUUCAGGGUUUUCCUUUUGAGUUCCCUCUUGCCCCCAUCUAUGCUUCUUUUGAGGCAUUUCAAACACUUUUGGAGCUGAAUCUGCCUAUUUGUUGACUCUGAGGUACAUAGUUUUUGUGCUAUUUUUAUCUCUGAGUGUCUCAAUUAUUGGGAUUUUUAACUCCAAAAAUUCAUUGUGAAAUGUCUUGACUUCUAGGUGGGGGGACACUCAAUUCCUUUGAUUUCCUAGAUUUCAGAGUUUUGGAACUUAUCUGUUGUGGGUUUCAUAAAUGGGAGAAAAGCUGAGACCUUUUUUUUCCUUGAUCUCCAGCACCCCCAAUGUAUUGAGAUUGGUCAAUUUUUUGUUUUUUGUUUUUUUUUUCUUCGUAUCAGUCACUGGGGGUUGUGGGGGUCAAAGACACAAUACCCACAUAUACAGGUCUGUGAGUGGUAGAAGGAAAAAAGAAAUGUAAAACAAAAAAUGAAAAGUUGGCAAAUUGCAAUAGAUUGGGGGUGGUGGGAGUUAAGGAAAAAUGGGGUCUCAACUUUUUUUCCCUUAUUGAUAUUGUGGCUUUACCACAGUGUUAGGAUUUCUUUUGUUUUUAUUUUUAUUUUUAUUUUUUAUGUGAUUUUAAUGAGUUUUUAAUAAAUUUGUUAUAGUUGAGUUUUGGAAAAUAUUUUUGGAAAAGCCGGGGGUAUGUUGGAAACUUUCCCUUUGCGUUAGUGUGAUAUGUUCCUUUCAUUUUAGUUCAACCAAAUCGAAGUCCAAGAGUUGGCAAGAAUGAUGAAUCUAUAUAGAUGUGAGAGGAGAAAAUCUUUUGUGAGCCUCCAAUAUAUAAUGCUUAUUGAUAUUCUGACUUGCCUUUUAUGUUUAUAGUUUUAAUUUUUUUGCUAGUUAUUAAAGAUCUUUUCAAAUGCAGUAGAAUUGUAUUAGAAUUAUUGUUACUCA